UAUGGAGCUUUAGACCUAAAGUAAGUCACGUUUAACAUGCUACGAUAAUAGUAAAAACUUAGUGAUAAUUACUGAAGUGUCUUUGGUUGGGGCGACCGCGGGGUAAAACACAACCCCCAUGUGGACCGGGGAUAUUAUCCCUAAUACUCAGAGCCUCUACUCCAAGUAACAGAAAUUCUGACUUUUCUGAUCCGGUAUAACCGAUCAACGAACCGAGUUACCCUA
rnacentral:rRNA from 1 species